rnacentral:rRNA from 1 species
UACGAAGGGGGCUAGCGUUGUUCGGAUUUACUGGGCGUAAAGCGCGUGUAGGCGGGUCGUUAAGUUGGGGGUGAAAUCCCGAGGCUCAACCUCGGAACUGCCUUCAAAACUGGCGACCUGGACUCAAGUAGAGGCAAGUGGAAUUGCGAGUGUAGAGGUGAAAUUCGUAGAUAUUCGCAGGAACACCAGUGGCGAAGGCGACUUGCUGGACUUGUGGUGACGCUGAGACGCGAAAGCGUGGGGAGCAAACAGG